GAUGAACGCUGGCGGCGUGCCUAAUACAUGCAAGUCGAGCGAACAGAUGAGGAGCUUGCUCCUCUGACGUUAGCGGCGGACGGGUGAGUAACACGUGGAUAACCUACCUAUAAGACUGGGAUAACUUCGGGAAACCGGAGCUAAUACCGGAUAAUAUAUUGAACCGCAUGGUUCAAUAGUGAAAGACGGUUUUGCUGUCACUUAUAGAUGGAUCCGCGCCGCAUUAGCUAGUUGGUAAGGUAACGGCUUACCAAGGCGACGAUGCGUAGCCGACCUGAGAGGGUGAUAGGCCACACUGGAACUGAGACACGGUCCAGACUCCUACGGGAGGCAGCAGUAGGGAAUCUUCCGCAAAGGGCGAAAGCCUGACGGAGCAACGCCGCGUGAGUGAUGAAGGUCUUCGGAUCGUAAAACUCUGUUAUUAGGGAAGAACAAAUGUGUAAGUAACUAUGCACGUCUUGACGGUACCUAAUCAGAAAGCCACGGCUAACUACGUG
rnacentral:rRNA from 1 species